rnacentral:rRNA from 1 species
UAGGGAAUCUUCGGCAAUGGACGAAAGUCUGACCGAGCAACGCCGCGUGAGUGAAGAAGGUUUUCGGAUCGUAAAACUCUGUUGUUAGAGAAGAACAAGGACGUUAGUAACUGAACGUCCCCUGACGGUAUCUCACCAGAAAGCCACGGCUACCUACGUGCCAGCAGCCGCGGUAAUACGUAGGUGGCAAGCGUUGUCCGGAUUUAUUGGGCGUAAAGCGAGCGCAGGCGGUUUCUUAAGUCUGAUGUGAAAGCCCCCGGCUCAACCGGGGAAGCUCAUUGUAAACUGGGGGACUGGAGUGCAGAAGAGGAGAGUGGAAUUCCAUGGGUAGCGGUGAGAUGCGUAGAAAAAUGGAGGAACACCAGUGGCGAAGGCGGCUCUCUGGUGUGUAACUGACGAUGAGGAACGAAGGAGUGGGGAGCAAACAGA